GCAUGUAAUGUGUGUGUGGUGUGUGAAUGUGUAGUGUGCGUGUGUUAUAUAUAUAUGUAACUAAAUAUAAGCCAAAANAAAAAACAUUUAAAUGGAUUUAUAUGCUUAACUAAUAAAAGUUUCUAGAAAAUGUUGUGUUGGCAAGUUAAUAUGAAAUUUUCACAUGAGAAUUACAAGUGUCCUUUCUAUUAUAUUAUCACUUAAUUUUCAAUUCCUAGAAACCCUUUUCAUUCAUUUAGUUUUCCCUCAUCCCUUCGAAACAGCCAAGUUUGGAGAAAACUACAUCUUAGAGUUUUACAAAUUAAGGUGUUCAUGCUUCUUAUGGUUUCUUGUUAAUUCUUGAAGUUAUGUGUGUAUGUAGAGUUUUAAUUUUAUGAAAGAUUUAUGUUAGAAUCAUGAUAAUUGUGUUUGGUAUAAAGAGAUUACAUAUAGAAAUAAGGGUUGAAAUCCCCUGUUUCGGCCAGAAUUGUUGUUAAAAUUGUUGAGAGCGUCUCCUAUAGUUGACAUGAAGGAAUAUCGAUUUUCAAAUUUUCUGUGCGUAAUAUUGUGUUUCUAGUGUUCGAAU
rnacentral:lncRNA from 1 species